AAACCUCUGCAAGCUGGCUGGUCCCCAGGCUGGGCUGGGCAGGUAUCUCUUCCAAAGGCUCACCCUCAAGCAUGACUGAGAGC
rnacentral:pre_miRNA from 1 species